AUACUCCGGACCUCGACCCGGAGCAGAGGACAGACCUAAGGCCUGCAGUCCAGCGGUCUAGGGACUCCAUGUGGAACUGGUUCAAUAAAGUUGACCUCUCCUUCAGGCGACUUAAAGGGAGACCAGAUGUGCGGCAGCUGGGUGUCAUGGUGCAGAGACCCAACGCUGCACUGAACUACACCAGUGUGUCCUACUCCCCAUAAACCCUGAGGAUCCCUGGCUACACAUCACAUUAAUCCACACCCAACAUUAACACACAUUGCACACUCUAUAGAGCGUGUAAGUCCGCCCCUUGCGGUGGGACCUCGUGAGAUAUGACUGGGUUUCAAUGGAGAGAAAGUAAUUAUUUUCUCAAUUAUGUUGCACCACAUUUUGGGGGAAGAAUGUUUGAAUCAGUCUUUGUCAUUUAUUUCUGUACUCCACAUCUGUAAUCCCAGCUGUUGUAUUUUAACACGGUAGCUGGGAACCCUCUUUAUAGGGAGCGGCUAGAGGGACGAGGCUGGAAGCAAACCUGAGCCUGGAUCUUAACCUUCUUUCUAAACCUAAUGCCGCAAUUUAACCGCAAAUAAAGUGAGGCCUAAAGUAACUUGACUCUCUUACCUAAACUUGCCUGCUAAACUCGCUUGUCUAAACUCGCUUGCAUAAAACCUAAACUUGCUUGCAUAAAACCUGAACUUGCUUGGCUAAACUCGCGUCGCUUGCCUAAUACCUAAACCCGCUUGCCUAAACUCGCUUGCCUAAUGCCUAAACCCGCUUGCCUAAACCCGCUUGCCUAAACCCGCUUGCCUAAACCCGCUUGCCUAAACCCGCUUGCCUAAUACCUGAAGUCGCUUGCCUGAAGUCGCCUGCCUAAUACCUGAAGUCGCUUGCCUAAACCCGCUUGCCUAAUACCUGAAGUCACUUGCAUAAAACCUAAACUCGCUUAGCUUGACUCGCUUGCCUGUACUCGCUUCGCUAAACUCGCUUGCAUAAAACCUAAACUCGCUUAGCUUGCCUGUACUCGCUUGGCUAAACUCGCUUGCCUAAUACCUGAAGUCGCUUGCCUGAAGUCGCAUGCCUAAUACCUGAAGUCGCUUGCCUAAACUCGGUUGCCUAAAACCUAAACUUGCUUGUCCAAACACGUUACACAAAGUUAACCAUCCAUAAUCUUUAACCCAAACCAGACUUGUCCCUGGGUCGCUCCACUUUAAUUUAGAAGUUUCUUCUUUUACCUCAUCUGCGUUUUGAGUUUCAUUCUUUGAGGGCUUGAAGUGCUUUGGAGGAUAUUUGAACCUUUGUUUGCCGCAUCAAUAAACAUGCUUUAUCUUUACCCAUUUUGUUUUGGAUUGCAUUUCUAUGUGUAAUCCGGCCAAAUGUUCAGUGUCCUUGCAUUUAAUGUCUAUGGUCUGACGAUAAUCUGACCUCUUCAUGAAGCAGAAUGUGUGUGAAUGUUGUCCCGUGAGCUCCAGGGUCUCUGUGGGCCUGUCGACGUCUCUUUAGCAAAAAAUUGAAAAUCAUUUUUGUGCCAUUUUCAUGUGUUCCUGAGUAUUUCAGACCUGUGGUGUUUCACAUGAGACCUUAAUGGGAACUUUUAUUUUUCUGCCUGCAUACGUAAUGCCUACAUUAGUAGGGUGAUCACACAAUAUUGAUCAUUAACCACCUCAUUCUUAUGAUUUUUUUCGAUAAGGAUUACAAAUCAUGUAAUUUAUGAGCAUAUUUGCAAAUGGCUCCAAAUAUCAGAUUGUGUAAAAACUAAUGAAAUGUAACCUGCUUGAUUUAAAGAAAAUAAAACAUCCAAAUAUUAUAAA